rnacentral:rRNA from 1 species
AACGUAGGAGACAAACGUUAUCCGGAGUUACUGGGCGUAAAGGGCGUGUAGGUGGUUUUAUAAGUCUGGCGUGAAAUUUCUCGGCUUAACCGAGGCAGGUCGUCGGAUACUAUGAGACUAGAGGACGGUAGAGGCGUGUGGAAUUCCGGGUGUAGUGGUGAAAUGCGCAGAGAUCAGGAGGAACACCCGUAGCGAAGGCGGCACUCUGGGCCGAUACUGACACUGAGGAGCGAAAGCGUGGGGAGCGAACAGG